GGACAGAGCACAGAAUUGCUUCUUAAGUCAGCCCGGCGCGGUUGCAAUAGACAGCAAAAAGGUAAACGUUUGCCUGAAAUCCGCACGCCAGCUCCACCGCCCCGCCCGAUGGUCCCAGUUCCUCUGGGAAUCGUCCUGUAUGCAACAUCUUCACAAGAGUGGCAGGCAGUUGAAUCUCUGGCCUUCGUGGGACCACUGGACAUCUGGCAGAGAACCAGGAAACCACGGUUCCCUUCUGUGAGUCCCUCAGCCGGAAAACUACAAGCUCCUCAUGCAGCUGCUGUCUACAGACCCCCUGGACUGCCUGGGGAAGUGAGUCGGAGCUCCUGCAGCAGAGGGGUGGAACAGCUACACGAAGAUCCGAAGGUGGCCAAAAAUAACAGCGCUUUCCAGAUGAGGGUAAUGUUAUAGCCAAGAUCAUCGCUGGGGUAGGGUGUCUUGUUCUUUGUUUUACAACCUAAAAAGUACACAGAAGACUCAAAGAUCAUUCAGGAAGGAGGAAUCAAGUCAGUACAGAACAGAGAAAUGGGAGCAGUUAAAAACAAAGGAAUUGAGUUUCUUUAUGCCAAAAGAGAGAAAACAGAGGCCUUUUAUAGAUAGAGAGAGAGCCCUGGCUAUCUGGAUGGAAGAUCUGUUUUCUCCAGCUUCCAUGGCCGCAAAAGAAGGGGAGAAUUCUGAAUUUGCAGAGAGAGAGAGAGAGAAAAAGUGAGAGAGAGAGAGAGAGAGAGAGAGAAAGGAUAUAAGGAGAGACUGACCAAGGAACAAAAGAGCAAGGAGUUAGACAAAAA
rnacentral:lncRNA from 1 species